AGCUGAUUUGAGAGGAUGAUCAGCCACAUUGGGACUGAGACACGGCCCAAACUCCUACGGGAGGCAGCAGUAGGGAAUCUUGCACAAUGGGGGAAACCCUGAUGCAGCGAUGCCGCGUGAGUGAAGAAGGCCUUUGGGUUGUAAAGCUCUUUCGUCGGGGAAGAAAAUGACUGUACCCGAAUAAGAAGGUCCGGCUAACUUCGUGCCAGCAGCCGCGGUAAUACGAAGGGACCUAGCGUAGUUCGGAAUUACUGGGCUUAAAGAGUUCGUAGGUGGUUAAAAAAGUUGGUGGUGAAAUCCCAGAGCUUAACUCUGGAACUGCCAUCAAAACUUUUUAGCUAGAGUAUGAUAGAGGAAAGCAGAAUUUCUAGUGUAGAGGUGAAAUUCGUAGAUAUUAGAAAGAAUACCAAUUGCGAAGGCAGCUUUCUGGAUCAUUACUGACACUGAGGAACGAAAGCAUGGGUAGCGAAGAGGAUUAGAUACCCUCGUAGUCCAUGCCGUAAACGAUGUGUGUUAGACGUUGGAAAUUUAUUUUCAGUGUCGCAGCGAAAGCAAUAAACACACCGCCUGGGGAGUACGACCGCAAGGUUAAAACUCAAAUGAAUUGACGGGGACCCGCACAAGUAGUGGAGCAUGUGGUUUAAUUCGAAGAUACGCGCAGAACCUUACCAACACUUGACAUGUUCGUCGCGACUUUAAGAGAUUAAAGUUUUCGGUUCGGCCGGACGAAACACAGGUGCUGCAUGGCUGUCGUCAGCUCGUGUCGUGAGAUGUUGGGUUAAGUCCCGCAACGAGCGCAACCCUCACUUUUAGUUGCCAUCAUUAAGUUGGGCACUCUGAAAGAACUGCCAGUGAUAAGCUGGAGGAAGGUGGGGAUGACGUCAAGUCCUCAUGGCCCUUACGUGUUGGGCUACACACGUGCUACAAUGGCAUUUACAAUAGGAAGCAAAACGGCGACGUUAAGCAAAUCCUAAAAAAAUGCCUCAGUUCGGAUUGUACUCUGCAACUCGAGUACAUGAAGCUGGAAUUACUAGUAAUCGCGGAUCAGCGCGCC
rnacentral:rRNA from 1 species